rnacentral:lncRNA from 1 species
AGGCUUCCCAGAGCGAGAAAACUCCCACCCGGCUUCACAGACGCCUCAAGCUGAGUUUUGAUUCUGACAUCUCUCUGCUUUCUGGAGUGCCCUGGAGAGUGGCCCAGCGAAAAUAACCAAAAGAUGGACUAGAAGUUUCUGUUUCACACACAGGCACAGGUCGGAGGAGGCACUAUAGAGUUUUCUAAGCUGCUGAGACUCACUUGGGCUACAAUCUCUCCCUGAUCCAGCACCUCUUCAGGAGUCCUUCAGCAUGCCUGCUCCUGAACUACAUUUGGAAGAGAGGCAUGCUGGUACCCAAGUGUGUGGAUCCACUUCCAGUGGUGAUGUCAAAACUAUGUCUCUAGUACCAGCCUCCUGAGAAGUCCCACUCACAUUGCCAAGUUCCUGCUGGCAUUGCCAUGUGAGUGGAUGAAACCUCAGGAAACUUAGUGGAAGCACACUGCCGUCUUUAACCCAGAAGUCAUGGAUAUCUGUGCUCCUAAUCUUUACAAGAAGUGUCAUCAUUUGUCCAUUUGAGAGAGUCUUGAUGUGCAGUCUAGGCUAAUGUAUAACUUGGUAUAUAGAACAGACCGGCCUCGAUGUGGUGGCAAUCUUUCUGCCUUACCUCCUGAGUGCUGGGGACAGUGUGAGCUCCACACCAGCCUGCUUCCCUCUGUUGUUUGCCUCUGGUGUGCGUCAUCUUGACGAAGUCUGACUAUCAGUGUAUCUCCUUUAUCAGUUUCCAAGGAUCUUGUCAUCAAGAAUGGGGUGUUUUUCUGCUUAUUCACAUCCUCAGUCCAGGCCUUGACCUGAGCUUGGUAUCUGUUUGAAACGUGACAAACUCUGGCAACUUAAAACUUUGGUGCCCUGUAAGCAAACACAGAGAGGGCAUAUUCUCUUCCCCCUUUGGAUUUUUCAGUACACUUAAUUUCAUGAACCUC